GCCAUCUCAGUUCGGAUUGCAGCCUGCAACUCGGCUGCAUGAAGCUGGAAUCGCUAGUAAUCGCAGAUCAGAAUGCUGCGGUGAAUACGUUCCCGGGUCUUGUACACACCGCCCGUCACACCAUGGGAGUUGGAAAUGCCCGAAGUCAGUGACCGAACCGAAAGGAAGGAGCUGCCGAAGGUGGAGCCGAUGACUGGGGUGAAGUCGUAACAAGGUAUC
rnacentral:rRNA from 1 species